AAUCGAGGGCCAGCCUAUCCCAGGUGAGCUCCCAGGCAGCCUGGCUCUUGGUGAGUGCAGGAACCCAGGGUAGUCUUCUGUUGCAGGGAUCAAGGUGGAGAGAGAGGAGCACCACCUCCACCCUGCCAUCCCAUUCAAGAAUACACCCAGAGGCUGCAAUCAGGCUUCAGAAGCUUCUGGACGCCCACAAGCUGGAGACUCUAUGUAGGACUUGACCAGGAGCCACACCUGAAGCAGCAAGAGAAUGGUACCCAGCUCACUGCUGCCUUCUGAAUCUCACGCUGGGACAUCAGGACACUGGAUCCAAUUAUUUAUUCUCAUCUACCUCCCCACUGGCCAUAAAAAUGAUCGAGAUCCUGGAACAUCUCAUGCCUUUGUGUCCUGGAAAACUCAACCCAAAAUGCCAAGAGAAGACAGCACUCAAAUGAAUCCAUGCUGUGGCCGGUGAGGCCCACUCAUCGGAGAAGGUGGUGGGGAGAUCAUAGAUUUUUCACUUCGCACUCUGGUGUUUUCACUGCCAGCAGAGUCUCUGAGCACAGUUCAGCUUUCAAUUUUGCUCCAGAGGGAGUAUCCGACCUGGAAAAUAAGAAGUAAUUGAUGAGAAGCCCACAGAAACGUCCCGGCUCUAGCAGGCCAUUGACUAUGAGGGAGCUCUGCGUUUUGCAAAGGCGUGAAGAGAAAGCUGCGGCCUUCCUUGGGGGAGGUGUUAGGCAGAAUGUCAGUGGACUUGGCUUUGAAUGAAAGGCCUCGGGGACAAUCAGACAGUGGCCUUAUUCUGUGUUAUCAGGCUGAAGGGUGAUCUUGGGCAAAGUAGACAUUUGAUGAAGAGGGCCAAGCCUGGAAGGAGAGCCAAAUUAGUUUGCUCACCCAGAGCUGAGACGUGGUUUCCAUGGAGCCUUGGCAGAUACGAGACCAUUGGAUGCUUUCCUCGGCUUCUCUCUGCCCUCUAUGGCCACCAGGAGACUACAACUCUCUCCUGGGCAGCCUCUGGGAGGAAAUUCAGUGACCAAGGAAUCUGGGACAGGAAGGAAAUUAAAAGUAGGAGAUGGGGCAUUCCCGAUGGCUCAGUGGUAAAGAAUUGGCCAGCCAAUGCAGGAGUCACGGGUUUGAUCCCUGGGUCAGGAAGAUCUCACAUGCCUCGGAGUCACUGAGCCCGUGCCCCACAACUGCUGAGUCUGAGCUCUAGAGCCUUGGAGCUGCAGCUACUCAGCCUAUGUGCUGCAACCAACUGAAGCCCGUGCUCCCUAGUGCCUGUGCUCCACAGCAAGAGGAGCCACCACAGUGGGAAGCCUGCGCACCGCAAUGAAGAGUAGCCUGCGCAGCAGCGAAGACCCAGCGCAUCCCAAAACAAUAAAUAAAUAAUUUUUAAAAGGCAGAGAUGGAUAGUGAAAACUGGGAAAAUGCUGAUGAUCAAGGCAGGAGUUGGAACCAUUUCUGUCACAUGCUCUUGUGCAGGAACAGCAGGAAGGCAUCCAAUGAUACGUUCUCUGGGGCUUUGCCCAGGCUAAUUGUACAUGACAAUGGCUGCUCUAUGUUCUUUCAGGGAGGGUUGGAAUGAUUUUGCAGGCCCCAUGUGGCCUGGUGGCCAGCGUUGGAAAAGGUUCCCUCUUGGACUUCCGGCAGCAGGCGAGGGACACCAACCGUGAUUACCCAGGAGGCUAGACCAUCACUUCCCCUGGCCGCUCCUGCUGUUCUUCCAGGAGGGGACCUUUACCGGUCACCGGAGGGGGCUUCCCAGUGCACGGCAGGUCACCAUCCCUGACUACCGGGCUCUUUCAUACAGGCUGGAAAGGAGGUUGGACUUUUCAUUCCACCUGGGUCACUGGGAGAUUUUACAAGAUGGUGCGUCAGAAUGUUUGUGUAGCUUCCUGUGGGCCUGGCCCUUCGCCCCCUGUCCACGUGGAAAUGCCUAGCAUGACCAGCGGAAGAGCAAGGCCUGGAAGCCAACCUGAGUUUGGGCCAGGCUAGCAAGAAUGGAAGCUCCACGGUCAGCCGAGAUGCAAGCGGGUUUAGAAAUUUACUGGUCUCAAGGCUUCCCUGGUGGUCCAGUGGUUAAGACUCCAGGCUUCCACUGCAGGGGGUGUGGGUUCGUUCCCUGGUCAGGGAACUAAGAUCCCCUAUGCUGCACAGUAU
ensembl:lncRNA